AUGGGGGAUAACUGCGCGAAAGCGUUGCUAAUACCGCAUACGACCUACGGGUGAAAGCAGGGGACCGCAAGGCCUUGCGUCGAUGGAGCGGCCGAUGCCGGAUUAGCUAGUUGGUGAGGUAAAGGCUCACCAAGGCGACGAUCCGUAGCUGGUCUGAGAGGACGACCCAGCCACACUGGGACUGAGACACGGCCCAGACUCCUACGGGAGGCAGCAGUGGGGAAUCUUGGACAAUGGGCGAAAGCCUGAUCCAGCAAUGCCGCGUGUGGGAAGAAGGCCUUCGGGUUGUAAACCACUUUUGGCGGGAAAGAAAUGGUCUGUGCUAAUACCACGGAUUGAUGACGGUACCCGCAGAAUAAGCACCGGCUAACUACGUG
rnacentral:rRNA from 1 species